rnacentral:lncRNA from 1 species
CCUGCUUGGGACCUUGGAGACCUUGAUGUAUUUGUUCAGAGGAUUGGGCCUGGGAGGAUUGGCAAGUGAAGCAGGCAAAAAGGUUGUGGAGGGAGGCGGGCGUCGCCUCGCGCCUGAACGUGGCUAGACUGGGGUGGCGCUACUGUUGGCGGGUCGACCAGCACACCCUGUCACACUACGUACUGGUAGUGCUGCUGCCACCACCGCCACCACCUAUGGGGACCGACCGGGGAUGUCGAUCUGUGGGUGGCAGAGGGAAGGGUGCCUUGGCCAUACAGGCUUGGGAUUUUGUUUUUCCUUUUCUUUCUUCGAAGUCCUUCUGCACUUGGGCCUAACCCUAAUUAUUUGCUACUUGCCACUAAGGAAGGUCUGGAUUUUUUUUUUUUUUUUUUUCCCUUUCCAAAAUCUCCCUUCAGGGAGCGAUCGAAGGUCCUGGGUUGCCUUUUUUUUUUUUUUUUGACAGGCAGAGUGGACAGUGAGAGAGACAGAGAGAAAGGUCUUCCGUUGCCGUUGGUUCACCAUCCAAUGGCCGCCACGGCCAGUGCACUGCGGCCGACACACCGCGCUGAUCCGAUGGCAGGAACCAGGUGCUUCUCCUGGUCUCCCGUGGGGUGCAGGGCCCAAGCACUUGGGCCAUCCUCCACUGCACUCCCUGGCCACAGCAGAGAGCUGGCCUGGAAGAGGGGCAACUGGGACAGAAUCCGGCAUCCCGACCGGGACUAGAACCUGGUGUGCCGGCACCGCAAGGCGGAGGAUUAGCCUAUUGAGCCACGGCGCCGGCCCCUGGGUUGCCUUCUGAGGGCCAGAGGCCGGUCCGCUGCAGCCCGUGUGUGAGUUCGCCUGGAUGGGGCUGCCUGCCAUGUGUGGGGUGGUGGCCUGCUCAUGGCCCUAGUCCCCUCCCCCACCCCAGGUCGACCAGGUGGCCAGAGGAGUGUCCUCUAACAGAGAUGGGUGGCAUUUUGGGGACAAGUGACCGGGUCCCCAAGCUCAGAGGUGGCUGUGUCCAGUGCAUCAGCCCUGUGUCCUCUCGCGUGGACAUUUUUAUACUUGGAGUUGUGGUUUUGGACCUGCAGGUAGGUGCUGACACGCUGUUCUCUGGUGACUGUCGCCAGGGAGGGGACUCCGGACGUGCGUUGGGGACACGGGGACAAAGUGGGCUUCCAGUGGGCUGGUGCUCGACCGUGCUCCUUUCUGAGAGCCUGUGCGGUGCCCCUGGAGUGGUCCAGGUUGUGCCUCAGGUGCCUGAAGCCGAGUGGUGGUGUUGCUCCUGUCCCCCCAGCGCCCUCUCCCGGGUGUCGCUGCUGCGGCUGCCUCUGGCUGCUGCCUGUGCCCCUUGGGAGUCUUGGGGGGGUCGAGGCGGUAAGAGAAGGAGACACGUGUGUGCUUCGCCUCGCUUGGAGGGAGGCUGCCGGUGUCGUGCCGUCGUCCCCACGUGUGUGUGGGGUAUCGGCUUGGUGGGCGCAUGCCUGCGCGCUUGCCACCCUGCCCCCGUGGGGUGGUGUGUGCCAGGUGUGUCGAGCAGUCGCGGUGUGGUCCGGUCUGGCCGGACGAGUGCGGGGGCCGGGAGGGCUGUGGCGAAUGGGAUUGGUAAUGCGCCCAGCCUGCCCUUGCCCUGGCCGCGGAUGCUCGAGGUGCCGUUUCUUCCCUAUACCGCAGACCCCCUCGCCCGAUUGAUCGGUCUCUCGGGUGGUGCUCCCUCGGCUUGCCUCCUGCCGGCCCGGCGGAGGGGGGCAGUUGGGGUGGGGUGUGGCCCACCUUCGGUGAGGAACGCCUUCUCUAGCGAUCCGAGAGAGGGGCGUGCCUUCUGA